rnacentral:rRNA from 1 species
GACGAGGUGGACAAACGUUAUUCGGAUUUACUGGGCUUAAAGAGUUCGUAGGCGGCGCGGAAAGUAGGGUGUGAAAGCCCUCGGCUCAACCGAGGAAUUGCGCUCUAAACUGUCGCGCUCGAGGAACCUAGAGGUGAGCAGAACUGAUGGUGGAGCGGUGAAGUGCGUUGAUAUCAUCAGGAAUACCGGAGGCGAAGGCGGCUCACUGGGGGUUAUCUGACGCUGAGGAACGAAAGCCAGGGGAGCAAACGGG